UACGUAGGGUGCAAGCGUUGUCCGGAAUUAUUGGGCGUAAAGAGCUCGUAGGCGGUUUGUCGCGUCGAAUGUGAAAACCCGGGACUCAACUCCGGGCCUGCAUUCGAUACGGGCAGACUAGAGUUCGGUAGGGGAGACUGGAAUUCCUGGUGUAGCGGUGAAAUGCGCAGAUAUCAGGAGGAACACCGGUGGCGAAGGCGGGUCUCUGGGCCGAUACUGACGCUGAGGAGCGAAAGCGUGGGGAGCAAACAGG
rnacentral:rRNA from 1 species